UCCCUAGUGGUCUAGUGGUUAGGACUCAACGCUUCCACUGCAGGGGCAUGGGUUCAAUUCCUGGUUGGGGAA
rnacentral:tRNA from 1 species